UUGUGAACGCGAAGAACCUUACCCAGGUCUUGACAUCCUCUGACAACUCUAGAGAUAGAGCUUUCCCCUUCGGGGGACAGAGUGACAGGUGGUGCAUGGUUGUCGUCAGCUCGUGUCGUGAGAUGUUGGGUUAAGUCCCCGCAACGAGCGCAACCCUUGAUCUUAGUUGCCAGCAUUUAGUUGGGCACUCUAAGGUGACUGCCGGUGACAAACCGGAGGAAGGUGGGGAUGACGUCAAAUCAUCAUGCCCCUUAUGACCUGGGCUACACACGUGCUACAAUGGAUGGUACAAAGGGGCUGCAAGACCGCGAGGUCAAGCCAAUCCCAUAAAACCAUUCUCAGUUCGGAUUGUAGGCUGCAACUCGCCUACAUGAAGCUGGAAUCGCUAGUAAUCGCGGAUCAGCAUGCCGCGGUGGAUACGUUUCCGGGUCUUGUACACACGCACAA
rnacentral:rRNA from 2 species